rnacentral:rRNA from 1 species
UUGAACUGAAGAGUUUGAUCAUGGCUCAGAUUGAACGCUGGCGGCAGGCCUAACACAUGCAAGUCGAGCGGAUGAAGAGAGCUUGCUCUCUGAUUCAGCGGCGGACGGGUGAGUAAUGCCUAGGAAUCUGCCUGAUAGUGGGGGACAACGUUUCGAAAGGAACGCUAAUACCGCAUACGUCCUACGGGAGAAAGCAGGGGACCUUCGGGCCUUGCGCUAUCAGAUGAGCCUAGGUCGGAUUAGCUAGUUGGUGAGGUAA